rfam:Picea glauca, whole genome shotgun sequence.
GCUUUCAUAGCUCAGUUGGUUGGAGCAUCUUUUUAGUAAGAGGGAGGUCAUGAGUUCAACUCUUAUUUAAAGCA